UUCUUACUUAUAGCAUAGAAUCAGAGUACUUGUUUACAAUAAAGCAGAAUAAUAUUUAACAGAAUUUGAAUAUAUUUGAUCUCAAUUAAUGUUCAAAUAUGAACACGAGUAAAAUUAAUUAACAGUUUUCGAGAUGGGCAAUGUUUACCAUAAAAGGCAGAACAUGAUGCGGCUUCUGAACACAUAUAGAAAGCCAAAGGGAAUGAAUCGUAUUUCAUUGGAUUUUAGUAUGACGGCUGUCUUCAAGAACGAACGCAUAUUAUCUACUAUAUGUGUACUACCUAUUCGAACACGAGGAGACCCAUAACCUCAUCGUCGUUGUUGAUUACAUGUUCUGUCAAAUGCGUUGACGCGUUGGCUCGUAAGAACCUUAAUGAUCCUAACGAGUUCCCCUCUUGGUGAAUCUUGCAAAUGAUGUUAAUCAUAAACCAUGAAGUAUUUUGGCACCGCGAACAAUGGAAUAACAUGAUUUUCAUAAUAUUAUAUUCAUUAUAUUGUUUUCAUGGUAUUAAUUCAUGGUAUAAAGUUAAUCAAGAAAUAGAAUAUAUGUAUGAUGAGAAAUUUAAAGAAAACAAUCUUAAGAAUAAUAUAAUAUAAUAUAUAUAUCUAUGAACAAUUAAAAUUGUCUCAUCUAUUUAAAUAUAUUGAUUAAUCUCAAAAACAUUUUUAUUAUAACUCUAAUGAGAAUAAAUAGCACUUAGCAUGAAAAUAGUUAACAAAAAGCAUCUUCUUCUUUUAUGAUUUAUAAACAUAUAUCAGUUGAGUAUUAAUUAAAGUGAUUUUAAUGAAGUAGAAACCGUAGAUAUAUUGAUUGAACAGGAUAUAUUGAUUGAACAAUGAAAAUAGAAAGAGAGAAUAGAAAGUGAGCUAUGCUAUCAUAAUUGUGCAUCUUUAUGAUGAUGAGUGUUCAUGUAAAUGCAUUCUCUAUACAUCACACUCAUUGGUUAAAAAGUUUUAACUCAGCUGCUAAAUUGGCUACACGAUUUUUGAUUAUAUCAAAAUCUUCAUUGAUAUAAUC